GACGAACGCUGGCGGCGUGCUUAACACAUGCAAGUCGAACGGAAAGGCCCUGCUUUUGUGGGGUUCUCGAGUGGCGAACGGGUGAGUAACACGUGAGUAACCUGCCCUUGUCUUUGGGAUAACUUCAGGAAACUGGGGCUCAUACCGGAUAGGAUCUCCUGCUGCAUGGUGGGGGUUGGAAAGUUUCGGCGGUUGGGGAUGUACUCGCGGCUUAUCAGCUUGUUUGUGGGGUAGUGGCUUACCAAGGCUUUGACGGGUAGCCGGCCUGAGAGGGGUAACGGCCACAAUGGGACUGAGGUACGGACCAGACUGCUACGGGAGGCAGCAGUGGGGAGUAUUGCACAAUGGGCGGAAGCCUGAUGCAGCAACGCCGGGUGCGGGAUGACGGCCUACGGGUUGUAAACCGCUUUCGCCUGUGACGAAGCGUGAGUGACGGUAAUGGGUAAAGAAGCAACGGCUAACUACGUG
rnacentral:rRNA from 1 species